UACGAAGGGGGCUAGCGUUGUUCGGAUUUACUGGGCGUAAAGCGCACGUAGGCGGAUUGUUAAGUCAGGGGUGAAAUCCCAAGGCUCAACCUUGGAACUGCCCUUGAUACUGGGGAUCUCGAGUCCGGAAGAGGUUGGUGGAACUCCGAGUGUAGAGGUGAAAUUCGUAGAUAUUCGGAAGAACACCAGUGGCGAAGGCGGCCAACUGGUCCGGCACUGACGCUGAGGUGCGAAAGCGUGGGGAGCAAACAGG
rnacentral:rRNA from 1 species